rnacentral:rRNA from 1 species
UACGUAGGAGGCAAGCGUUGUCCGGAUUUAUUGGGCGUAAAGAGCGUGUAGGCGGCCAGACAAGUCUGCUGUGAAAAACUCGAGGCUCAACCUCGAGCUGUCGGUGGAAACUGUCUGGCUAGAGUCCGGGAAGAGGAGAGUGGAAUUCCUGGUGUAGCGGUGAAAUGCGCAGAUAUCAGGAAGAACACCUAUGGCGAAGGCGCUCUCUGGGGACGGUACUGACGCUGAGACGCGAAAGCGUGGGG